UACGUAGGUGGCAAGCGUUAUCCGGAUUUACUGGGUGUAAAGGGCGUGUAGGCGGGACAGCAAGUCAGGUGUGAAAUUCCAGGGCUCAACCCUGGAACUGCAUUUGAAACUGUUGUUCUUGAGUGAUGGAGAGGCAGGCGGAAUUCCGAGUGUAGCGGUGAAAUGCGUAGAUAUUCGGAGGAACACCAGUGGCGAAGGCGGCCUGCUGGACAUUAACUGACGCUGAGGCGCGAAAGCGUGGGGAGCAAACAGG
rnacentral:rRNA from 1 species